rnacentral:rRNA from 1 species
UGGGGAAUAUUGGACAAUGGGCGAAAGCCUGAUCCAGCCAUGCCGCGUGAGUGAUGAAGGCCUUAGGGUUGUAAAGCUCUUUUAGUGGGGAUGGUUCAGAGUUAACACCUCUGGAUCUUGACCUAACCCAAAGAAAAAGCACCGGCUAACUCU